GAUGAAGAACGCAGCGAAAUGCGAUACGUAAUGUGAAUUGCAGAAUUCAGUGAAUCAUCGAAUCUUUGAACGCACAUUGCGCCCGCCAGCAUUCUGGCGGGCAUGCCUGUUCGAGCGUCAUUUCAACCCUCGACUUCCCUUUGGGGAAGUCGGCGUUGGGGACCGGCCGUAUACCGCCGGCCCCGAAAUGAAGUGGCGGCCCGUCCGCGGCGACCUCUGCGUAGUAAUCCAACUCGCACCGGAACCCCGACGUGGCCACGCCGUAAAACCCCCGACUUCUGAACGUUGACCUCGUAUCAGGUAGGAAUACCCGCUGAACUUAAGCAUAUCAAUAAGCGGAGGA
rnacentral:misc_RNA from 1 species